rnacentral:tmRNA from 1 species
AGAUCCAGAGGCUUUACAAACACUGUCUCCACUGCAGCUGCCCCAAUUGCCAAAAUAACUGCAAACCAGGCCAGACACGCUCCAAAGCAUUUACUAUUCAAAAACAGCCUAUUUGGAGUCAUAACUAGCAAACACCUAUGUAUAGAAAUUAUCAUCAAUAUAAAUACAAUACAAAAGUCCAAGGUGCUUACAUAAAGGGUGAAUAAUACACACAAUAGCAUAGAUCCUGGCAUGGUGUACAGGAGAUAAUGCCCACAUCCCCACCGACUACACGCAACACAACCUCAGGCAAAACCAGAUCAGGGUGCAAACGUAGGUGCUUCAACAAACCAGCAGCCAUGCCUCCUAAAAGACGCCGCGCUCCAAAAAGACCAGCCCCUCCUCCACCACCGGGAUGCCAAGGUGAUGAGGAGUCCAGCCAGGGAACUCAAACGCCAAACCCCCCAUCACCACCAGUGCCCCCUUCAUCACCAACACUUCCCUCAUCCCCCGUCCCUCCUUCAUCACCAGUACAUGAGCCACCAUCUCCUUCCCCCCCACCAGCCCCACCAUCACCAGAUGUUGAUGUUGAAGGUUUAGAUGUAGGAGAGACAGACGAUCCCGGUCCCCCUCCACCAAAAAGAUACUCCAGGUAUCAAAAACCGCAUAAUCCAUCUGAUCCAUUGCCUAAAAAAUAUCAGGGAAUGCGAAGACACCUGCAGGUGACAGCACCCAGGUUAUUUGAUCCCGAGGGUCACCCCCCAACACAUUUUAAGUCAGCUGUUAUGUUUAGUAGCACACAUCCCUACACUUUGAAUAAACUUCACAAGUGUAUCCAAAGCAAACAUGUACUCUCAACACCAGUUAGCUGUUUACCCUUGGUACCAGGCACAACACAACAGUGUGUAACAUACUAUUUACUUUCAUUUGUUGAAGACAAGAAACAGGCCAAAAAACUAAAAAGGGUUGUCUUGGCCUACUGUGAAAAAUACCACAGCAGCGUAGAAGGUACUAUAGUCAAGGCAAAGCCUUAUUUUCCCUUACCAGAGCCCCCUACAGAGCCCCCUACAGACCCCGAGCAGCCAUCCACAAGUACACAAGCUUCUGGCACACAACAUGGUCCCACAGCAUCUCUGGAUGCCGGUGCAGAGCAAGGUGCCACAGGAUCACCUGGAUCUAGUCCAGGACAACAGGGACAAGGGUCUCAGACAAAGGGUGGGCGCGCCGACCCAGCUUUCUUGUACAAAGUGGUUGAUGCUGUUAUGGACCCAGAAACGCUGGUGAAAGUAAAAGAUGCUGAAGAUCAGUUGGGUGCACGAGUGGGUUACAUCGAACUGGAUCUCAACAGCGGUAAGAUCCUUGAGAGUUUUCGCCCCGAAGAACGUUUUCCAAUGAUGAGCACUUUUAAAGUUCUGCUAUGUGGCGCGGUAUUAUCCCGUAUUGACGCCGGGCAAGAGCAACUCGGUCGCCGCAUACACUAUUCUCAGAAUGACUUGGUUGAGUACUCACCAGUCACAGAAAAGCAUCUUACGGAUGGCAUGACAGUAAGAGAAUUAUGCAGUGCUGCCAUAACCAUGAGUGAUAACACUGCGGCCAACUUACUUCUGACAACGAUCGGAGGACCGAAGGAGCUAACCGCUUUUUUGCACAACAUGGGGGAUCAUGUAACUCGCCUUGAUCGUUGGGAACCGGAGCUGAAUGAAGCCAUACCAAACGACGAGCGUGACACCACGAUGCCUGUAGCAAUGGCAACAACGUUGCGCAAACUAUUAACUGGCGAACUACUUACUCUAGCUUCCCGGCAACAAUUAAUAGACUGGAUGGAGGCGGAUAAAGUUGCAGGACCACUUCUGCGCUCGGCCCUUCCGGCUGGCUGGUUUAUUGCUGAUAAAUCUGGAGCCGGUGAGCGUGGGUCUCGCGGUAUCAUUGCAGCACUGGGGCCAGAUGGUAAGCCCUCCCGUAUCGUAGUUAUCUACACGACGGGGAGUCAGGCAACUAUGGAUGAACGAAAUAGACAGAUCGCUGAGAUAGGUGCCUCACUGAUUAAGCAUUGGUAACCGGUUAGUAAUGAGUUUAAACGGGGGAGGCUAACUGAAACACGGAAGGAGACAAUACCGGAAGGAACCCGCGCUAUGACGGCAAUAAAAAGACAGAAUAAAA